GUCCUUGUCGAUUAGUGGUUAGAUCAUCACGUUGUGGUACUUCCACAGAACCGUGAAGACGGAGGCUCGAAUCCUCCCUGGGACA